UAGGCUCAUUACAGCCUCUGCCCCCCCUUUUGGUUGACGUCCCGCCUCCGUGUUGGAAGAGCCGCGCUCAUUGGCGGCAGCGCCCUGCCUCUCGUCAUCCCUCUCAACCAACCCCUUUAGGCCUCACACGCCAUUGGAGGAACAGUGAGCAACAUGAUCUGGCAAGAAGAAGAGUGUGUUACUUGUCAAAAGUAUGCUUCAAAACCUUCCCGGAGCCUUCGAGUUUUAUAACAACAAGACACCUUCAAGUCAAAACCGAAAGGUCCCAGGUUCAAACCCUGGGAGCGGCGGAGCAGCGGGUGCAGCCGCUGUUAGCUCCAGCUUCUGCCAGCCUAGCAGUUCGAAAACAUGCCAAUCUGCCAAUGAUGUCUGUAGAACUCUUCUCCAGAACCAUAUCUCAAAUGAAUUGGUAAGUUGGUUUUCAAUAUACUGUGGUGUAAUAUGUCUGUUAUGUAGCUCUAUUUAAUUCAAGGAAAUGAACCUAUUGUACGGAUGAUCCAUGAGUCAAAUUGUCCAUAGGAUCAAAAUUACUGCAAUUCCGGUAGACUUUCUCAAAUAAUUCUUCCAUGAGUCUAGACUAGUGGUUCUCAACAUCUGGGUCUCCAGAUGUUUUGGCCUUCAACUCCCAGAAAUCCUAACAGUUGGUAAACUGGCUGGAAUUUCUGGGAGUUGUAGGCCAAAACACCUAGGGACCCACAGGUUGAGAACCACUGGUCUAGACGAUAAAUACGUCAUUGUUGCAUCACAGGUAGAAGAAAGGUUCAGGAAUACAAGAAAUUAGGAAGUGUUGUUCCAGGUCACACAUGAGUAUAUUUGCAUCCUGUGGUGCUGUAACAGUGCAUCAGUAACCCUGGCAGUUCAGCCGAGUUGUCCUGUCAGAGUAUUACCCAACUGCUAACUACAGAUGGCUAUUUCUUACAAUUUGCUUUCCUUUAUUAUUUUUAAAUUGGCAUGAAAUUAUCUCCAUUUCAGAUUCUCUUUGGUUAGCUUUACCAGCCUUUAUGUCAUCUUUAGGCUUUCUAAUGGGGUGCUACAGGAAUCUAAUCUCCACAACCAUUUUGCCUAAACAUUAUGGGACCUCUUUAUGGGAUGCAAACCACAGUGUUAUAUACUAAGACUUUAUAAAAUGUAUCCAAAUGUUCAAUGCAACACAUGCAUUUCAAAACAACAUUUUAAACAACUCAGAUUAUGACUUUAAAAUGCUUUGCCUAUUUUUGGUUCAUUUUAAGGGAUGAUGAUGAUUCUGGCCACAAUUGUUUAUUCUUGUUACCUGACACUUACAGAUCUACUGCACAAGCACUGGCAGAGAACAUCAGGGAGUGUUUGUGCAAACAUCAGAUACACCUGUCUUAUUUGGACCACCUCUUCCUUUCCCCUCAUUUGUCCCUCUAUUUCAAAUCUUCCUGUUUGACUCCCCCUUCUCUUUCAGCUUAAUGGCAUAUGCAAAUGCCGUUGCUGCAACAACUAGAUCAGGUAGUCACUGAAUCAGCCCAGCAGCUAUGUGGCCAUGCUACUGCUAUGUCCAUUUGCAAGGUAAAAAAUCGGGGGGGGGGGGGGCAAGUUUCAUAGUGUACCUCAGUGUACCAAUAGUUCCAGACUGCCAAAAAAAUAUAUCAUAGUUCCAGGUAUAAUCUCAACUCCUAUCUUCAGUUUUCAACUUUGUCUGCUUUCCAUAAACUGGCAAAACUAAGAGGCUCUACUUUAUGUAAUAGUACAGUUGCUUGUACAUCUACUUGUAACAAAACGUAAAAUCAAAUAAAAGUAAAUUGAAUAGAUUCACUAUGAUUGCCUGAAUAAAACUGAUUUUAAAUCGAAUACACCCAAACAUGCUGAUGUUAUUAUUAAUUAAGGUACUAAAAGAAAUAAUGUACAUUUAGUAUUUCAGAAUUUCUCCCUUAAAAUCCUCCUCUUCAUUAACAGAAAUAAACAGCACCUCUUCGCCAUGGGUUCAAACCUUUUGCAUCACAACUUCCCAGACUCUAUGUUUGUUAUCAUUUUGCAAAGAAAGAACUAGGAACUUUUUUUUCAUGACGGCUAGCAUCCUUGGACUCCAUUAGAAAAAUAAUAGAGGUCCUCCCAAUAUUUUUUUUAGAUCACAACCCAGUAUCUUUGACAUUGCUCAAUAAAGCGUUUUAAUUGGACAUUGUUGCAAGAUAGUCAUUGCCUUUUUGAAGCAAUGUUAGAAGUUAUUAGUAUCAAGUUUUAACAGAUGGAAAAAAUAUGCUUCCUAUAGAACCACAGACCCCUUCUACACUGACAGAUAAUCCAGGUUAUCAGAGCAGAAAAAAUCCACAUCUGAGUUGAACUGUAUUGUUUUAGUCUGUACUGCCAUAUAAUCCAGUUCAAAGCAGAUCAUGGGGAUUUUAUAUAGCUGUGUAGAAGGGACCACAGCUAAGGUUUUCUUUAAAAGAAGUUUAUUAAUGUGACAAUUAUAACCUCACGUUAAGUAAAUGGUAGCUACGUUUAUCCAGGAUUUGUUUUGUUCUUUUUAGUGUACAGUUCAUAUAGUCUUGCAUGUAAGUCAUACUUUGUGUCAAGGAUGUAACUCAAUAAAUGUCACUGUUUAGGAGCAGUUGAGUUUGAACAUCUAUGUCUAGUUUUCAAAUUUUCUUUACUGUGCAGGUGAGAGGUUUUCUAGUUUUCCCCAUUCAGUUGCGAUAUAAUUCUCUGUGUGCCUGGCCUAGCUUCAAAAUACAUCCAUUAUAAGAUUGAUAUGAUCUUUGAGUACUCUGAGACUUAUUUUACUGAUAUAUGAAAAGCUGUUCAUGUUGGAUAAUUCUUAUCUGCUAGUAUCUUCAUAAUGAGAGAUCCAGCAUGGUGUAGUGGUUGAAUGUUAGACUAUGACUCCAAGAGGCCAGAGUUUCAACUCCUGCUUGGCAAUGGAAACUUACUGGGUGACCUUGAACAAAUCACACCCUUGGCUUCAGAAGAAGGCAAAGGAAACCUCCUCUGAACAAGUUUUGCCAAGAAAUCCCUGCGAUUGAUUCACCUUGACAUGACUUGAAGUCACACAACAACCAAUCUUCAGGGUAGAAAGGUUGCAGCUUUCUGCAAGUAAUGCACAACCCUCUCCCCUCUUUUCUAAAUCAUCAGUACCAUCAGAAUACAAUCAGAAUUGACUUUUCCCUUUUUAUUUAAUACUGCAUUUAUUCUACUGAAGGCUGAGUCUAAAAACAAAGCCAGAGAAAUCCCGUAUCACAAUUGCUUUAUUUAUCAGUAUCAAAUUACAUAGUAAAGUAAUGAAGAACAUUUUGAGAAUGUCUCCUUUGAAUACUGUAGUACAAGUAAAAGAAAAUCUUGCAUUUAUUUGAAGUACAUUAUUGUUUUAAAACUGUGCGUUAAAAUAAAAGAAUUCUUUUGGCAUAUCUUGAUGAGAUUGCCUGCACGAACAUUUCUGUACUUCAUUUUCACACAUGUAUACAUUUAUAUACAUAUACAUAUACACUUUGAGAGACAACCUCAAGCUCACAACUAGGGAGAGUCCUCUUAUGGGAUUUAUUUAUAUAAAAAAAUACCCUGAUCCUGCUGUGAAGGAAAUGGCAUCCCAAAGCUAACUCAAGUGUUAAGGAUCAUGGUCCCACCCUCACUUACAAAUCCUUCUAAAUUUCCCAAAGCAGCAUUCUACAAGUUAGCACUCUUCAGAUGUUUGAUGACAGCCCUCAUCAUCUUACUGAACAUUGCAACAGAGACAUGGAAUGAAGAUGAUGGAAGUUAUUGUCCAACACACAUGAGCACACAGAGGAUUUUUUUUCUCAUGUCCACCAUUGCAAUACUGCUAAUUCUGUCUUCCACUAGUAGAGUAUGUUGAUGAUUUUUCACUUGGCUGAGGUGACUAGCACAGGACAGGGUGAUAUACCCUACAGGAAUAUACUAAACGUGUUAACAGCAGCCAAACAACUGUGGAUGUCCUCAUAUAGUGUUGUUGCUAGAAACUGCACUAAAGAGUCCCAAGCUGAACAGAGCCUGGCCUCUUAUUUAAGACAUGCAGGACACUGUUGGUUGGAGAGAGGUAGAGGGGAUCAAAACAAAGAUGUGUGAAAAGUACACGUGAAUAGAAGUACAGAAACCUCAAUGCAGGGUAACUGGGGAAGGAGGGAAAGGCAAGCAGCGCCUCCUCUUGAGCCAUUGAGUGGCCCAGGAUCAGUGGAAGUCAGGCUUCUCUGGGAAGGUGCAGCCGGAACGUUUUAUAAUCACACUGGCAGCAUAGUGUCCGGCUCGGAUGCACUCUGUCAGCGGUCGGUCGUACACAAGCUGAGAAAGGAAACCUGAAGAACAAGACAGAAACAAAGCAUUAAAACAAUCUGGGAACCUGCCUAUUAAGCUCUAUGUGAAGAGGUUAAAAACACUUUUAUUUAUCACACUUGUAUCUUGGUCCAUUCCAUGGAUAUAUUGUACUUACUGAAGUUUUUCAAAGUUCAAGAAUGUUGGCCUCAAAUGGCUCACGAACCCCUAUUAACUAGAUGAUUUGGCUCGUUGAGCCAGCUUUUUGGAGUAUUAUAUUUUACUGAUAAACUAUUAAACAGUAUGUGCUAGAGCUAGUUCAAAGAAUGCUCAAUAGUUCAAACUGACUCAUAUGUUCCCAAAAGCAUUAUUUACAAUUACACACUCUUCCGCUCCCCUCCCCCUGUUACAUUCUUGUAUUCAAGUACAUCUUGUUUAAUGCAAAUCUGGCACAGUGCGUUAAAGCGCUGAGCUGCUAAACUUGCGGACCAAAAGGUCCCAGGUUCAAAUCCCGGGAGCAGAAUGAGCGCCCGCUGUUAGCCCCAGCUCCUGCCAACCUAGCAGUUCGAAAACAUGCAAAUGUGAGUAGAUCAAUAGGUACUGCUCCGGCGGGAAGGUAACGGCGCUCCAUGCAGUCAUGCUGGCCACAUGACCUUGGAAGUGUCUAUGGACAACGCCGGCUCUUCGGCUUAGAAAUGGAGAUGAGCACCAACCCCCAGAGUCAGUCACGACUGGACUUAAUGCCAGGGGAAACCUUUACCUACCUUGUCCCUCCAAUUAGAACCGGAGUCCAUUCUCAAGCUAAAGGUUACAGUUCUAGUUUUGAGAGCAAAUGAAAAAUAUUGAUUGCCCAUUUGGAUGAAAAGAUAAACCAGCAAUUCCCAAAGUGGGCGCUACCGCCUCCUGGUGGGUGCUGCAGCGAUCUAGGGGUGAUGAUGGCCACAGGUGCAUUUGCCAUUUGCAUUAAUACAUAUAUCUUUCUGUUCAAUUACUAUUAAAAUUAAAAAAUUAAUUUCCAGGGGGUGCUAAGUAAUAUGUUUUCUGUAAAGAGGACGGUAGGCCAGUGGUUUGGGAACCACUGAGAUAAACUAUAAUUUGUGUCAAACAAGAAAACGGUUUAUGAGCUGGAGCAGACUGAAAGAACAUGUAAGUAAGACUCUAAUUGAUGUAACAUCAAACUAUGGUUGAUGGACCAAGUCCUGUAACUCUACCAGGAAGGUAGACAUCAAAUCACAUUCAUGUCUUGCAAUUUAGCUUGCCUCCACCAGCAGCACAGACUUCUUUAAGCUGAUUGAAUGCUGUUAUUUAAUCCAACUCAAUCAAUGAAAGCAUUUU